rnacentral:rRNA from 1 species
AGAGUUUGAUCAUGGCUCAGGAGCGAACGCUGGCGGCAGGCCUAAUACAUGCAAGUCGAACGGUCUCUUCGGAGGCAGUGGCGGACGGGUGAGUAACGCGUGGGAACGUGCCCUUUGGUACGGAACAACUGAGGGAAACUUCAGCUAAUACCGUAUGUGCCCUUCGGGGGGAAAAGAUUUAUCGCCAUUGGAGCGGCCCGCGUUGGAUUAGCUAGUUGGUGGGGUAAUGGCCCACCAAGGCGACGAUCCAUAGCUGGUCUGAGAGGAUGAUCAGCCACACUGGGACUGAGACACGGCCCAGACUCCUACGGGAGGCAGCAGUAGGGAAUCUUGCGCAAUGGGCGAAAGCCUGACGCAGCCAUGCCGCGUGAAUGAUGAAGGUCUUAGGAUUGUAAAAUUCUUUCACCGGGGACGAUAAUGACGGUACCCGGAGAAGAAGCCCCGGCUAACUUCGUG